AAAAAAAAUACCUAAGAUAAUUGAAGUCUGAAUCAAAACUGAACUAAUCUGAGAGCCUCUAAACACUUUCUGAAUAAGGAGUUGAAGGAACAUGUCUCCAACUAACUCCGUAAACUGAUAGCUAACUGAAAUAAUAAAUGAAUAAAUCAAAUCAUAUCGUCCUCGAAUGAAGAGGACUCACUGCAGCUUUGUCUACUGGAAUGCGAAUGUUACUGCUGGUCUGGAACUCGUGUCUUUGAACCUAUGGUGUAACAUAAAAAGAAAGCACCAUAGCGCAAAUGCGUCAGUACAACUGGAGUACUGAGUAUAGGAGUGAGGUAGGCUAAACAUAAAUAGGGUUACAUGCAUAAACAAUGCUAACUAACUGAUUGAUAUGAACGUGAGAGUGUAAACAUGCAUACAUAGAAACUGAGAUCGCGAAUGCGUGAUAGCUAAAUCUGUACGCUAAUACAUAGUUUACUGAUAACUGAUCAUGACUGAAACUAUGGUUCUGUCAAUAUGGGUGACUGUGUCUGACAAUCCUGGGUCUGAUGGAACUAUCUGAGUUCCGUACUAUAACUGAAUUUGACUGUAUCUGGCAGUCUUGGUAUACUGCUAUUUGAAGAACUAUCUGAGCUCUUUUACUGAGACUGAGCCUGAAACUGUGGGAGGUAGUUGUUUAACCGACAUGCCCCAAUAAUGCAUAUAGCAAUGUUGGGGUCCAAUCUCUGCCCCAACUGGAGGGGUGUCAAUACCACGCCACUGGUAAGGACAGUUGUGAGUGACCCCCAUCUGGCAGGUACUCAAAUGAGAACGGUGGGAACCCUAAACUGAUAGGUUAAGCUACCUCAUCAACCCUAGUCUGAUAGGUUAAGAUGUCUCAACCUACGCUGGCUACGUAGUUUUGGAACACAAGGAUGACUGCUAAGAAUCACACCCUAAACUGGCAGGUGAGUUCCCAUCCUUGGGUUCACUCGGUGCUAACUUCUACUCCUAUUUGAAGAGAUUGAACAUGAUUUAACUGACUGUACAUGGACUGAGUAACUGACUUCCGUUGACUGACGGAAUAGCACUACUAUCUGAGAUUUUACUGAGAUCAUGAGAUUUCUGAGGUUUCCUGAGUCACAUGACUGGUUGAGUUCUAUAGAUUAUGGCUUGACUGAGAUAAUCGUGACGACAUGACAUAGAUCUAGGCACACAACUAUGUUUUUUGGAUACGAAUACCACCAGGACUCGAUGAAAGGAAACUGACACACAUGACAUGACUUGAUCACAAGAUUUGAGUCCACAAUUCAUAAUAUCGUACAUAAGGGAUUUCAUACUAAGUAUGGGUAUCAACAAUGUAUUGCAUGGAAAAGAUUUCAUGUCACAUGGAAGUACUUGCACAACCUUAAUAUCAUGUUCAUUGCAUAAUUGUACUAUCAACACAUAUCAAUAGCAUGGAGGUUCAUGUGGAAUCAUCUUAAGAGUUGACAUAGCUUGUCAUUUAAAUACUAUGGGGUCAUGGGAACAUGAUUUUUAGCAUUCUAGGCAUUUUAACAAACACCUUGCAUGCACACUUUGGGGCAUAAGUUUUCUCACAAAUUUUAAUCAUCUUGAACCACCCAAAUUCAUGCGUUUUAACUACAAGCAUGCAUACAUCAUGGAAGACAGCUUAAAUUAAAUUUAGAGAGAAACCCUAGUUUUUGUUUGUGAAAUAAUAAUGAGCAUAAUGGCUGAAUUCGGACUUAUCUGGGUAUAUGUAGGCGAGUGAUAAGUGACCAAAAUACCCCUGUUAAAAUGACCUGAAAAUAAAAUGAAUGCGGCGUGUGAAGGUCCGACUGACAGUCCAUCAGACACUUGAUGGUCCGUCACUUAGCCCGUCAGAUGUGGACCAGAAAUGGGGUUCACUGGAUAAGAGUUGAUGGCCUGGAUGAAGGUCCGUCACAACUUUGACGGUCCGUCAACUCGUCCGCCAGUCCUUAUCCAGUACGUGGCUCAACUGCCUUAGCUGUGAUGGUCAAAGUGGCGGUCCGUCACUUAUGUGGCGGUCUAUCAACUUGGCCGUCAUACCUGGGCGUUUUCGACAGUUCCAAGUAAAACAUCCAUAACUUCCUCGUCUAAUGUCGGAUUUGGACAAAAUUGGUACCGUUGGAAAGCUAACUCAAUUUUCCAUGUGAUAGAAAGUGAAAAUCUAAAAAAUAACAUAUGUACAAAGAUAGUUUUACAUUUCAAACUAAGUCCUAGCAUCCUUGAGAUGAUUUCUAGCUAGGAAAAAGGCACGAGUAUUACAAGUUCAAAUGAGAAAACUAGUGUUACUAGCUUGAGCUAGGUGUUGUUCUAGUUGAUCGCGAUGGUUUCUAAUGUGUUGAAUGAGUUCCUAAUGGUAUGAUUAUGAAAUUAUGUGUGUAAAAAAUUAUUUAUAGUGUUCAAGGUUCAAUUGAAUCAAGCCAAGAGUCAAAACUAAGUUAAAUAUCAAAAUGGGCCAAACGAGUCUUAGCUUAAGUUUCCAGUUUAUUGUCUUGGACGUUUUGUUGUUUUGAGCUAUAAUUCGUGGUGUUUGAUGAUAUAGUAUGCUUGGUGAUUAUGAUGAUAUAUGAAUGAUGAAUAAGCUGGAAAUCAAGUGGAAACAUCACCAAAAGGCUUGGGAUGGAAGAUAAAUGCAUAAGACAAAGUUUAGACGUCAAAUUGGUUGUUCUAGUGUGCCUUCUCGAUGGAGGGGCGGUGCGAACCCUAUUCCCAUGGACUAAGUGAUGCAUUGCAGAUCUCAUUCCCAUGAAUAGGUGGCACGUAGAUACCCCUACUCCCAUGGAAUGGGUGGUGCAUCGCGGACCAUACUCCCGCACGACCAAAAUCUCAUCCUAUAAAUAAGACAAACAUAUUGUUAUGAACCUUCGAUGACUUUGAAGCUUGGAGAUGGAUUGGAAAACACUUCAAUUAAGGUUUUUCUUCUUUUAACUUAGUCCGUUUAUGGAUUAUAUCAUGUAUUCAUUCAUCUUGAUUACAGUUAUGUCCAUUAGUAGCUAAAAGCCCCCUUUUCGAGAUUAAGGCCAAGAACAUGAUUACUAUUAGUUUGAAUUGAAUUGGUUUUGAUUGCUUAUCAUAUUUGGUUAUUUAUUUAUCCUUAUUAUAACUGUUUUAAGGAUUUGCGACCCUUAGAAUACAUCUAUUAUCGUCUUGUGAGCCCGGAGGAGGAAUAAGAGGAUAGAACAUGAGAGUAAAUAGGGCGAGGUUCUUAUUCUUUUAUAAAAUAAGGAAUUUGAAUUAGUGUCUAGUAUAGGGAUACACCUAGAAUACUUGUUUAGUUCACGUGCAAAAUGACAUCUUAAUACAUCUAAAUGGAUUAUUACAACCCUACUUAACGAUAUAGUUGUAAUAUCCAAUUAGGUAGGAGAUUAGAGGUCAGGAGAUCAUAAUCAUACGAUAAACCCUGCGAAUCAACAACCAAGAUGAGUAAUCUAACCAAUGAAGUUCAAUAGUAUAGUAUGAUUGUUCAUAGUGCUUUAACCCUGGGUUUUCAUACAUUGAUUGUCCAAAGUCUUUACUUUUUUGUAUUAUUUUAGUUUACUUUUAAUUAUAAUCUCUCAAACUCUUUCGGUUACUUUUAUACUAAUUUAAUCUCAAUAGUUAAACUUGAAUUAGAUAGUUGUUAACACAAGUCUCUGAGGGAUCGAUAUUCGGCUUUAUUUAAGGUCACUGUAUUACUUGGUGAGACCACAUGCACUUGCGUGUACGCUUGGGUGCAACAAGUUUUUGGCGCCGUUACCGGGGACUUAUAAAUUGGCAACUAUUUUAGUUUUAGUUUUACUUUUUAGAUUUCUUUGGUGAUUUAUGCUUGGUCUUGGCAUUGAAUUUAUAGAAAACAGGUUUGCAGACUAGUAAGCUGGCAAGGGAUAGAGAAUUGGUUGAACUAAGCCCUAAACUCGAGCAACCCUUUUAUCAACUGAGAAGAGAAGCAGUCCUUCUCCAUCAAAUCUCACAAAUUCAAGAGGAACAAGGCAAUUCUGCUCUCUUGGAUAAAGAUCAACAGCCCGCAGGACAGUUCACGAAGUGGCAAUCCCACUUUUGAUAAAUUUGACCUCCCCUUUUUGAAAACUGACUGCUGGAGGUAACUUUGAGUUAAAAUAAAACAUGGUUCAGAUUUUGAUCAGUAGUGGAUAGUUUGUGGGGCUUUCACACGAAGAUCCACAAGUCCAUCUGUGAAAUUUCUUGGAGAUCAAUGACGUAUUUAUCCCUACAAGUGUGUCAACUGACUAUGUUACGCUGAUAUUUUCCCCCUUUUCACUAUUGGGGGAGCAAAGACGUGGUUGAAUGUUGAGCCAACAAGUUUAAUCACAACCUGGGAUGACUUAGCUCAAAAAUUUCUCAUUCGAUUCUUUCCAUCUAGCAAGACUGCAAGACUGUGCAGUGAGAUUAUGAGCUUCAAACAAAAGCUAGAUAAGAACCUAUAUCAUGCAUGAGAGAGGUUAAAAGCUCUUCUUCAGGUGGUCAAGCAUUGGAAUUGACGUAUGAUGAGCUAUAUACCUUAUUGAACCAGAUUGCACAAGGGAAUCCUGAGUGGCAUUUUGACUCAAGAAGUGCUUAGAAGAAGGUUGCAAAUGUGUUGGAGGUGGAAUAAUUUACAACUAUAUCUGCUCAUAUUGCGGCACUACAGAUUAAGUUAACUACUCAGCUUAGCAAUAUAAAAUUAGGGGUUACAUAGCCUACAGUAAUAGUUAAUGUAAUUUAUCCGACAAAUACUUGUUGUGAGGUUUGUCGCAAUAGUGGUCAUUCUGCAGCCAUGUGUGGUGCAAAUCCUGAGUCAGUGAUAUUUGUGGGCAAUAAUUAAAGGCUGAAUUAUGGGAACACCUACAACCAAAAGUGGUAGACUCAGCCACCAAUCCCAUUAUGGAGCAACCAACAACAGCAGUUUCAGCAGCAGUAGGUUUAAGAGAAUCAGGCCACGACUCAAACUAACAAUAUGGAAGAGAUGCUGAAACAAAUUCUAGAUUCUCAAGAAUAGUUGGCAGUAGAUAUGAAGAGCCAAUAGGUAGCUACAAAGAACUUGGAGAUGCAGGUUGGGCAAAUACAACAAGCACAAAAUGCCAGGCCUCAAGGUGGUUUGCCAAGUGAUACUGAAAAUCCUAAACAAGUAAUGGCAAUCACUUUGAGGAGUGAUAAAGAGCUCAAUGAAGAACCUCUAAUGAUAAAUGAUCUUGGGUGUAUUUAUAUGCCUAAGAACCAUAACUUACCCAUAUUUUAGCUAAGUUUGGAGAACAAAGUGCCUACUUUCUUAUGUUUUUACUCUACUUCUAUGUAAUUGAGCUAACCGAUGUGAUUAGCAUGAUUUCAGGCAUUAAUGAGGUAGAUGAAGACAUAAUGGGACUAUGAAAUGCGGAUGGCAUAUGACACAAGAAAGAGUAGCGGUCUGAACCAAAUGUGGCGCCUAAAAACUAUGUCUAAGACUAAUUUGUCAUUUAGAGCUAGUCUAGGGACUUAGAAGAAAAUUAUGAGGGAAAAGUUAUUAAAACUACUUGAUGCUGAAAAAUCACGUAUUAUUCAUUAUUCUAUAUUAUUUUUGCAUUGAGAGUGGCGACUUAGCACUAAGAGAGAAACACAAUAUCUUCUUCUCCACUAAAAAUUGGGUUCGCUUUUUGGUAUGAUGAAUAUUUCUAUUGUGAUUUCUGUUUUACUUAUGAGUAGAUAAGUUUAUUAGUUAGGGUUAUGGAUGCCUUGUAGCAUACAAUUUAUUACUUUGAGUUUUGAAUUCAUUAUGCAUUGAUUUGUUUACAUACUCUCUUUUCUUAACUUGAAUUCUCGUGGUUGCAAACAUGAGGAUAUUCCUUAAAACACAACUUGUUCUAUAGAAAGGUUGAUGUUCGAAAAAGAGAAUAGUGACAAGAAAAUAGGAUUUCCAACCCCUAUUUCAUAUGUUAAUGCCUUAACAAGAUUAACUACUUGGAGAUUUCGUAUUGUUUUUGUAAACACUUUUGAUUUAAGAGAACUGAAGUGAAUUAGUCCUUGAUGGUUGAGAAACACUAGGAUUAUGUUAUUAAAUGCAAUACGUUUCUCUAUAAGCAUGAUGCAUGUAUGAACUCGUAAAGCCCAUAAUUAGAAAGUAUUGAUAACUACAAGGUGGACAUAAUCCUAGCUUGCUAUUUUUCUAGAUUCAAAUACUACACAUCUCUCAUCUUGUUAAUUUGAAACUGUAAAUUUGUGAACUGAAUCAAAUCUCCUAUUUAUUUUAUGGAAGCGAAUGAUUAAAAAUCAACUAAUCUGCAUGCAACUUAAUUAGUACCAUAUUCCCUGUAGGAUUUGACCCCAACCUAGUUGGGUUAUAUAUUUGAAAACGACCUCUUAUACUCUUGCAAGAGAGUUGUAAUUUGGGCGUAUCGAAUUUUAGCGUCGUUGUUGGGGUGGUUGGUUACUUUGCUACUUGUUUUGUAAGAAAAUAGUACCUUCUCUUAGUAUACUUUUGUGAUAGGAUUAGUUAUGUUGUUUAUAUUGUUUCUUGUUAGAUGUUUAUUUGAUUUGGUCAUAAUUACGUGUUUUUCUCGAUGAUGGAUGAAUAACGUCCGUCUUAAGAGAAAAUUAAUUAUUUACUUUCAUGUAACUGUUCUUAUGGAUCACAUGACAUUAUAACAUAAGUAUGUGAUGGAUCAUUACGUUUGAAAUACCUAGGCUCUAGUUGUGACUCUUAUUGUGAUUGUUGGUUUUAUUUGAAUUCAUUUAAUUGUUGGGUCAAAAAUAUAUAAUGCUCCUAAUUGAGUUGACCAUGUGCCAUGAGUGUGUAAGACCGUUAUAUAUUCCUUAUUGCAGCUGAUGCUAGAACUUUCCUGGUGUGUGUGCAAGGCGAAAUAAAGAUUAUGAGUUUAGGAGAUAAUUUAAGCAUUUUUUUGACAACCAUUGUUUAUGCCUUCUUUUGACCUACCUUUGCACAUUAUCUUAGCUAGCCCUAUUGAAUCUUUAGCUUGUUCUUUUAUUAGCCUCAUAUGUAGCCUCACCCAUUCUUUAAUAGAUCAUAAUUUGAUCCAAAAUCUCCUAAGCGCUUUAAUGUAAAAUCAAUUUGAGUUAGGAGUUUGACAAUAAGAGGAAAAAGGUGAAAUUGAUGCCCCAAAGUCUAGUUAUUGGCAUGUGAAAUUGAUGUGGUUGGGAGUAGCAAAAAUUGUUGAAAAAGCUCCAAAUUUUAUCCCGGACAUGUUACAAUGAACCUAUUUUGGCCCUGGUCCUUCUUGGACAUUGUGCACCUCAACUAAGGCAAAUAUCUUAAGUUGAGGGUGGAUAUCAUAGGGCUACGUAACAUGAAAUGGAUGCAAAUUUUUUUUUUAAAAGGGCUGCAUACUCCCACCAUAUUGUUAUUAAUUGAGUUUAAUAGGAUGGGGUGGAAACAAAAGAUAUGGAUAGAUAAAAGUGGUGUAAAUUGGUUGUUAGAAAUUGGUCUUAGUUGCAUAAUGUAGUGUAUUAAAGCGCUUAGAGAAGAUAGUCACUAUUUAUGGCCAAAAUAGUUCCUACCCAUCCUUUAGCCUGUAUUACAACCCGUAAAAGACCUAUUUGAUCCUAAUCUUAGCAUUCUGAUCUUAGUAAAGCAUUACACUAAGGGCAAGCAUAUGGUCAUCAGUUGUAAUUUGAGAAUUCUUUGUGAGAGUGAGCGCAACUUGAUUCUUGUAUCCAUUUUAUUAGAAAUUGCAUGGUUGUGAGUGAUUAUGGGUAACUUUCUUGUUGUGAGGGCACAUGGUUGAUGAAGGUUGGGUAAUUUAUAUGAUUUCUUUGCUUAAAUGGUAUGCAUGAAUUUUCCAACUUAAUGAGUCUAUUAUUAGGGUAGGUUGUCUCUAGUAAUGAUCCAUGAAUUUACUUCCUGUUCAUAAUUGUUGUGUGAGCCUAUAUGACCAUCUUGUUUUUCCUUCGUGUGUAGUAUGCAUAAAUGGAUAAGUUGUUCGAGGAAGAACAAAGCUUUAAGUGUGGGGUGGAGAUCUUGGGUGUAUUUAUAUGCCUAAGCACCAUAACUUACUCAUAAUUUAGCUAAGUUUGGAGAACAAAGUGCCUAGUUUCUUAUGUUUUUACUCUACUUCUAUGUAAUUGAGCUAACCAAUGUGAUUAGUAUGAUUUCAGGCAUUAGAGGUAGAUGGAGACAUAAUGGGACUAUGGAAUGUGGAUGGCAUAUGACACAAGAAAGAGUAGCGGUCUGGACCAAAUGUGGCGCCUAAAAACUAUGUCCAAGACUAAUUUGUCAUUUAGAGUUAGUCUAGGGACUUAGAAGGAAAUUAUAAGGGAAAAGUUAUUAAAACUACUUGAUGCUGAAAAAUCACGUAUUAUUCAUUAUUCUAUAUUAUUUUUGCACUGAGAGUGGCGGCUUAACACUAAGGGAGAAACUCAACUUCUUCUUCUCCACCAAAAAUUGGGUUCACUUUUUGGUAUGAUGAAUAUUUCUAUUGUGAUUUCUGUUUUACUCAUGAGUAGCUAAGUUUAUUAGUUAGGGUUAUGGAAGCCUUGUAGUAUACAAUAUAUUACUUUGGGUUUUGAAUUCAUUAUGCAUUGAUUUGUUUACAUCAUACUCUCUUCGCUUAUCUUGAAUUCUCAUGGUUGCAAACAUAGAGGAUAUGCCUUAAAACACAACUUGUUCGAUAGAAAGGUUGAUGUUUAGAAAAGAGAGUAGUGACAAGAAAAUAGGAUUUCCAACCCCUAUUUCAUAUGUUAAUGCCUUAACAGGAUUAACUACUUGGAGAUUUCGUAUUGUUUUUGUAAACACUUUUGAUUCAAGAGAACUAAAGUGAAUUAGUCCUUGAUGGUUGAGAAACACUAGGAUUAUGUUAUUAAAUGCAAUACGUUUCUCUGUAAGCAUGAUGCAUGUAUGAACUCUUAAAUCCCAUAAUUAUAAAGUAUUGAAAACUACAAGGUGGACAUAACCCUAGCUUUCUAUUUUUCUAGAUUCAAAUACCACACAUCUCUCAUCUUGUUAAUUUGAAACUAUAAAUUUGUGAACUGAAUCAAACCCCCUAUUUAUUUUAUGAAAACGAAUGAUUAAAAGUCAACUAAUUUGCAUACAACUUAAUUAGCACCAUAUUCCCUAUGAAAUUCGAGCCCAACCUAGUUGGGUUAUAUAUUUGACAACGACCGCUUACACUCUUGUAAGGAGGUAGAUGCGAAGUUGGUUCCUCAACAGGUAGAUGACAAAGUUGCUGAAAAUUUGAGAAAACCUGAGUACUCGAGAACCAAAGUUGCUGAACAGGUGAAGGAGAGACCACCACCACCUUUCUCACAGAGGCUUAGAAAAGAAAAGGAGGUUGCAUGCUUCAAGAAGUUCUUUGAUAUGUUCAGAGAGCUCUAUGUUAGUCUUUCUUUUUUAGAUGUUUUGCAGGGAAUGACCAAGUACACUAAGUACUUGAAGGAUGUAGUUACUAACAAAGUUAAGUUAUUGGAUGUAUAGAUAGUAGCACUCACCGAGGAGGGUAGUUCUAUGGUUAUGUAGAAGAUGCCCAAAAAGCUCAAAGACCCUGGGAGUUUCAUGCUACCCUUUAAAAUUGGCAAUAGUGAGUUGGUCUAUGCACUUAGUGAUUUAGGGGAAAGAAUCAACUUGAUUCCCCUCUCUUUUUUCAAUACUUUGGGCUUGAGAAAGCCAAUACCGAGCUCUGUGUUACUCCAAUUGGAAGACCGGACCAUAGCCCGUCCUGAAGGAAUCAUAAAGAAUGUUCUCAUUAAGUUUGGUAAGUUUAUUUUCCUGUUAAUUUUAUUGUGUUAGAUUUUCAGGUAGAUAAAAGAGUGUCAGUCAUCUUAGGACAUCCAUUAUUUGCGAUGGGAGGAGCAUUGAUAGAUGUGAGAGCGGCAUGCUCACAAUAAAGUUGGAUGAUGAAGAGGCAGGUUUCAAAGUGUACAAACCCCUCAACACACUAUUCCACUAGAAAUAUUUGUACAUGAUUAUAGUGAUUGAAGGGAAUAAGUAUGGGGUGGUGGAUUUUAUUCCACCAAGGACCUCUUUGGACUUUCUUAUUAAGCUGUAUAAGCCACCAAUACCUCAACCCAAAAUAAUGUAGAUUGAUGAGCCUGAAAACGCUAUUAUUGAGAGAGCUGCUGACAUUUAGAGUUCACACUCAAGAGGUAAGAAACGAAUAAGAAGAUGGCCUCCGAGUAGGAGGAAGAGGAUAAAAAAAUGGAUGAGUCGAAGAUUGGGUUAUGUCGCGACACUAAAUCAGGUGCUGCUUGGGAGGGAACCCAAGUUUAAGGUACAUUUUUUUCAGUAUUUUUAGUUUUUCCUUCUCUAGUUUUUUGUUUUAUUGAGUUACAGGUUGAUGGAAAGUCUGAGUACUGGAAAACCUGAGCUAAGGAGCAUAGCGAAGACUGAGUGUGGGGUCUCCGAACCCUUUUAAUGCAAGAAGAUGAUACUAGCUAGGCCUAGAGGCCCCAGGUAUUAUAUCUAUCUCUACCUUUAAAGUAUACUUUGGGGACAGUAGAUUUUUAUGUGUGGGGUGGGGAAAUCCCAUUUUUAGGAGUAUUUUUUUUAAAAAAAUUAUGUUAGAAAUAAGUGGGAUGUUCUUGUUGGUGUGAUAUUUGACUGCAUGAUGUAAGUGUUUGGUUAUAAAAGCAUGUUGAUUGUGUGAAUUAUUACUUUUGAGACUCCUAGGCUUAUAAUUAUGACUCUUGUACUUGUUGGCUUAAUGUUGAAUUCAUGUGAUUGUUUGGUUGAGUUUCUAUGAUGAUCCUACUUGAGUUAAGCAUGCACCACGUGCGUAUAAGUUAUUGUGUAUUCCUUGUUGCAUUUGAUGCUAGAACUUUCCUGGUGUAUGUGCAAAGAGAAACAAAGAGCGUGGGUUUAGGAGAUGGUAUAGGAAUUUCUUUGAUAGCCAUAUUUCAUACCCUCUUUCGACCUACCCUUGUGCAUAAUCCUAGUUAACCCCAUUGAUCCUUUAGCUUAUUUUCUUUGGCAGCCUCAUUUGGAGUCUAAUCCCUUUCUUUGAUAGACCUUAAUUUGAUCUAAAGCUCCUAAGUGCUUCAGUUGAAAGUUAAUUGAGUUAAGGAGUUCAAAAUUAAAGAAGGGAAAUAUGAAAGUAAAGUCCCAAAGUAGUAGUUAUUGGUGUGUACACUUGAUGUGUUAUGGUUGGGAGUUAAAGAAAAUUUGUGCUAAAAUUGAAUCAAGAACUAAUAAACUAUACUCCCACCAUAGUGUAUAUCAAUGAGCUUAAUAAGAUGAGGUAAAAGUAAAGAUGUGUGAAGGUAGUGGAGGUGAAAGUUGGUUGUUAGAGAUAGAUCUUAAUUGUAUAAUGUGAUGUAUUAAAUCACUUAGGGAAGAUAGUCACUAUUCUUGGCCAAAAUAGUUCCUACCCAUCCCUUAGCCUAUAUUACAACCCUUAAAGACCUACUUGAUCCUAAGCUUCAUCAUUUUGAUAUUAGUAGAGUAAUACACUAAGGGGUCAUUUGGUAGAGUGUAUUGGAAAACUAAUGCAUGCAUUAGUUUAAUGUAUAUUACUAAUACCUUGUUUGGUAUACUUUUGCUCCCUAUGUAUAACUAAUGCUUGCACUAGUUAUACACUCUAUUAUGUAUUGUGGUGUGUAUUACUAAUAACUCAAAAUUCAUUGUAUUAGCAAUGAAUGGAUCCAAUACACGCAUUAACAUAAUUAAAGACACUAUUAUCACAAAAAAAAAAUUUCACAUCCUUUCCAACAUAUAUAUGAAGGAUAUUUUUGUAAUAAUUUUUUUUUUAGAAAUUAUUUAAUUCAUGUUAUUUUUAAUACAUCAAACCAAACACUUUAUAAGAAAAAUACAAGCAUAACUAAUGUAAGCAUAGCUAACACAAAUAUUACUAAUACAAGCAUUACUAACACACCAUAUUUUGCAUUAUUCUUACACUCUACCAAAUGAUCCCUAAGGGCAAUCCUAUGGUUCAUCUUGUUUAACUUGUGAAUUCUUUGGGAGAGAGAGCGUAAUUUGAUUCUUAUACCCAGUUUGUGAUAAAUUUUAUUUAUGUAAGUGCUUAUGGGUAACUCUCUUAUUACGAGGGAACAUGUUUAAUGAUAUUUAGGUGAAUUAUAUGAUGUAUUUGAUUGAAAAAUAUGUAUGCGUUUGGAAAUUUGAUGAGUCAAUUCUGGAGGCUAGAGUGUUUUAAAGUGGUAAUCUUGAACUGUCAAUUGUGUUUGUAACAUGCGUAAUGUAGGAACUUGUAUUCUGUGUAGUCAAUGUAGUACUAUCUUGUGUGUCUUACUUGUAGUAAAAGUAUAGAGUCUCCUCUUCUUAUGAUGCUUAGAGUAAAGAGUUAUUUGAGGACGAACAAGACUUUAAGUGUGGGGUGGUGAUUUGAGGUGGAUUUAUGCACCUCAGAGUUGUUAUCCGAGAUUAUUUAGUCUUAUUUUAAGGACUAAAUGUGUUCUUAAUAUGUUACUGAUGAUAUAAUUUAGCAUCUAAAUAUUUAAGAAUUUGAUUACAAUGUUCAUGGUGGAUUUCAAACAAGUUUGUACUUAAUUUGGUCACUUGGAGUUUAAAUGAGAAAACUCGUGUUACAAGCUCGAGCUAGGUGUUGUUCUAGUUAAUCACGAUGGAUUAUAAUGUGUUGAAUGAGUUCUCAUGGUAUGAUUAUGCAAUUAUGUGUGUAGCAACUUGUUUAUAGUGUUCAAGGUUCAAUUGAAUUAGGCCAAGAGUCAAAACUAAGUUAAAGAUCAAAAUCUACAAAACUAGUCUUAACUUAAGUUUCUAGUUCAUUGUCUUGAAUGUUUUGUUGUUUUGAGAUCUAAUCCGUGGUGUUUGAUGCUAUAUUAUUCUUGGUGAGUUGAUUAUGAUGAUACAUGGAUGAUGAACAAGCUCGAAACUAAGUGGAAAUAACACCAAAAGGCUUGGGAUGGAAGAGAAAUGCACAAGACAAAGUUUAGACGUUAAAUUGGAUGUUCCAGUGUGCCUUCGCGAUAGAGGUAUGGCGCGACCCCUACUCCCAUGGAAUGGGUGGUGCAUUACGAACCAUUCUCCCACAUAGCCAAAAUCUUAUCCUAUAAGUGUCGGUAUUUGCUUAUGUAUUCCUACUUCUGUGGUAUAGUCAUAAUGUAUGGUACCCCACAUAUAUAGACUCUUUGCCUGCCAGACUUACUGUCCCUCUAGUUGCUUCGGGUACAACUAUGUUUUCUGAUGAUAAGAAGAUAUUUGAGAGGUUUAUUUUCUUACCUAAGUUUAGUAGAGCUAUUGGCAAAGAUUCCUAUGAGUUUUUGAUUGAUUUCAAGUAAAAAUUACAUAUUCUUGGAUCCCUUAAGUCUCAUGGAGUUACUUAUACUACCUAUUAGUUGAUGGGUGUGGCUAGGGAUUGAUGGAGGUUUUUUGCUUAUUGUAGGCCUUUGGGUUUGCCUACUAUGACAUGGACUUAGUUUUCUAAGGCCUUGUUAGAGAGGUUUGUAAUGUAUAACUUGAGAGAUCAAAUGAGAGAUAAGUUUGAUUACUUGAAGUUGAGCUCCAUGUCUAUUGCUGAGUAUGAGGCAUAAUUUCACACCUUAUCCAGAAAUUCAGCAGCUAGCAUCUCCAUCGUAUUUAAGAGAAUUAAAAAGUUUGUGAAGGGGUUAGAUGGUUCAUAUCAGUUGGCUACAACCUAGAUGGUAAUUUUAAGGGCUUUUUUCUAGAGUAUUAUUGAGCAUGCCGAGAUGAUCGAGUCUAUUAUAGAGGUUACUCAUAGAGCCACCAAGAAGGUACGUCGUCAGAGAAAGUUUAGUAGACAUGAAUCCUAAGGUAGAUAUUCUCUAAUAAAGGUUCCCGUGGUUAUCAUGGUAGGCUGGUUCAAGCUAUAUUAUAGAGAUUAGGGGGUGGACCUUUAGACUCUGCCGUUUCUGGUAGUCAGGUAUCAGGUCAUGUAGUGGAGGCUGUAGGAUCGAUUCUUCAGGACAGGGCGGUCAUUGUUGUUCAUCUAUACCAUCUCAAAUUGAGUUAGGACCUAGGAGAUAUUUUAAAUGUGAUGAGUUUGUCCAUUUGGCCAAGGAUUUUCCCCAACAUAUGUAUGGACCCACUUAACAGAGUUCUCAGCUUCAAUAUUGCUUACUCUGAUAUCUAAAGAGAGGUGGAUCACAGAGUGGUAUGGGUGGUGUUAGUAGUGCUAGAGGUAGAGGUAAGAGAGCUCGUGGAGAUGGUCAUGGGGCUACUCAGUCCAGAAGCAGACAUAGUCAGUGUUAUGCUAUACUUGGGAGACCUAAGUCAAAGGCUUCUGACAGAGUUAUUACAUAUAUCAUCCCAUUUUGUUACAAGUAUAAUUUUGUGUUACUUGACCUUGGGUCUAUAUUUUCUUAUGUGUCUACAUAUUUUUCUUCUGGAUUAGAUAUUACACGUGAGCCCCUUGAUGAUACAAACAUGGUUAGCAUGAAAAAAAUUAGAAAGGUCUUCUAUAUAUGGAUGAUAACUUGGAGCCUAGAGGAUUCUAUGGGGCAACAAAUACAUAAGUCCAUGAGUGAUUAAGAUGCCAUUUGGGCAAUCAAGAAAGGCCAUUAUGGGGUAUUUCCAAAAUAGCUACUUUUAGGUUAUUCGUGUAAAGGAAAUAAGUAUAAAUAGUUGCCUUAGCCAUUUUUCAUCCUUAGACUCUAAUGAAUUUAAAAUUGAACUUCUUUGAGAGUGUAGGGUGGAAUACCUUUAGUGUAGUCAUAGUGUUAGUAAGAGUAGUAAUGGGUGGAAUCCCAUUGUUGAUGUAAACCUUAUUAACCUUGAUUUUCACAAGAGUUACUUAGUUGUUAAUUCAAACCAAGUUUAUCUAUUCUAAUUGAAAUCAAGUUCUCUUAUUCCUUGGUUAAGUGAUUCAAUUAGCUUUUCUUUUUUCUAUUCUCAUCUCAAUUUCUUCUGAUUCUCAUAUCUUGUUUCUCCACUAUCUUUAUUUUGUGUUGUUGUUUUGUCUACAUUUUCAAUAUUAAUUUUAGUCACUCGAUUGAGAUCAUUAGCAUCUUGGUAUCAAAGCUUAGGCUAGGGAUUUGUUUCUAUGAAUGUUAAUCCUAUGUUCAUAAAUCUGAAAAUAAAAAAAUAGUGAAAAACAUUUUUGGAAAUUUCAAAAAGAAAAUUAGUCGAUUGAGUUUAUUUGUGUUUCUACCACUAGAUUAGUGUUUUCCUAGUAUUUAGGGAUCUAGAUCUAAAAAUUUGAGUUGAUUUAGAAAGAAUUUCUAAUUUUCACCAUUGUUGAGCUUGAAAACACACGAGGAAGCUGAAGUAGGUUUGAAGAUGUAGGUGGAAUUGAAGGUUUAUUUGUAUCAUUGGUUGUUCUCUCUACCAAAAGGAGCUCGAAUCUGAAAGUUGGGAGCAAAUAGAGUUGAAAUACAUUGAGGUCAAUUUUGAAAAUACAUCAUCUUCAUUGUGUUCUUCAUAAUUUGAAGUGAGUUUCUAAAUCUAAAAAUUUUGAGUUAAAUUGGAGCUUGAAAAGUAUUGGGUUUUGUUCAUUAUAGAAAGAGGAUCUUAAAUCUUAAAUUAAAUCAAAUUUGGAACAAAACGAAGGAGUUGUCAAUUUUGGAGUUCAUUUUGUUAAUGGUGUUCUUCAUAGCUUGAAGAAGAAAAUAGGUCUAAAAAUAUGAUUUGAUUGGAUUGGAAUUUAGGGUUUAAAAGUGUUGGGGUUUGAUCUCCAUAUCAAAAGGAGCUUAAAAUCUCAAAUUUUACUGAAUUUGGAGAUAAAAUGAAGGAAAUAUGAAUUUUUGAAAUUCAUCUAUAUUGUUGAUGUUCUUCAUGAAAUUCAUGUCUUGUUAAAGAAGAAUUAUUGAAAAGGCGUUGUUUGAUCCAAAAAGGGGAAAGGAAAAGGAGGUGUAAUAUUUUGUAUAAAAAAAGACCAAAAAGGGAAAAGAUUAGGUAAAAGGUAGUAUAAGGGGGAUCAUAUGGUAGAAUUCUUGGAAGCCCUUUUUACCAUGGAUUUUGAGCUCAAUUUUCAGCUCUUUUUCAGAUUUUUCACCUUUUUGAAGCAUUUUAUCCAUGGAUUUCAAUUAAAUUUCUUCCCAAUUAAUUUCUUUAGUGAAAAUCUUGAUAAGUUAGUUUCUUUUCUUAAUUUUAAUUUAGUUUAUUUUCUUAAUUUAUCCUUUUCUUUAGCUUCAAAGUUGAUUUUUAUUAGUAGAUUACCCUACUAAAUAUUAUCAAGUUCUUUUAGUCCAAUUUUUUUCUUGUUCUUUUUUCAUUUUAUUUCAUUGUUAAUUUUCUUGAUUCAAGUCCGUUAGUUUUAAUUGAGUCAUCCAUUCUUCUUUGAAAAAAAAUUCAUUCUUCCAUAAAGAAUAAGUGACCUUGUGAAUUGAUCGGACAAUGGAAGUUUUCUAUCAACUUUGGGAAGACACUUUAGGUGAGCUGAGAGUUUCCACAUAUGAGAGACAUGAGGAAUUUUUCUACUAACUCGUUUGUUGAGUUCUGCAGGUAGGAUAGAAAGAUCAACAGUCCAUGACAGUAAACCAAACUCAAUGUUUCAAAAAUGCAUGUUCCAAAAUGAUGAGUUCUUGAAAUAAAAAUGAUAAUUUGUGGGAAAGUGGAUCUUGAAGUUGUGGGGAUGAUUAUAAUGUCAUCAACUCUAUAACCCCCUUAAUGGUUAGCAUGCUCGGGUUUUCUUUCUUUCCAAAACAAAAUCCUUUUGUUACACGAAUGAGAUUUUUGGUUGAUAGGAGAGUUAAAGUAUUAAUUUCACAUGUAAUUUAUCAAUAAGAGGUUUGGUGUGAUGUAGUUCCCUUGGAUUCUUGUCAUAUGUGUUUGCAAAUUCUAUGGUUCCAAAGUCAUGGACUUCCAUAUACACAAGAUUGGUAUUGUGUCAUCAUGGAUCUUAAAGGGCAACUUCUCUUUUCUCCAACAUUCCCUAAUAAUGUUGAUGCAAGCAAAAUAAUUAAUGAGUUGAUGAAAGAUUAUACUUCAUUGAGGGAAGUUUUGAAUGAAAAAUUUGAUGGGAUGAAAAAUUAGAUGAUUGCUCUCGACUACUUGAAAGUCCAAGUCAAUAUUUCAAAGAAGGAAAAUUACGCAUCAUGAAGUUGAAUCUAAGAAGUUGGCUUUGGAGGCAAAACAAAAUACUUCUUGUGAGGUUGGAUCUAAGGAGUUGAACAUAUAAGUCAGCACAUACACUCCUUAUGCACCAAAGUUGAAGCUAGAGGUGAAUGGAUCUCCAAACCCUUCACAAGGGAUCCUUGGCACUUACCCGAACUCUAAUAAAAUUAAGAGACAAAAGAUUGAGCGGUGUAAGGGUGUGAUAUGUAACAACUCUAGAGUGGAAAAAUGAGACAUUAUGUAGAGUGAUAUGAGAGGGUUGUUGCAACCUUAUACUAACUUUUGUAACCUCUCUUUCCUUCUAGUUACUUCAAUUUUUGUGAAGGUAUCCUUGGAAAUAAGCCUAGUGACACACCUUGAACAAUAAAGAAUUAUGUGGUGAUACAAAGUUCCCAAAGAAGCAAGUGUGCGCCAAUGUUGAAAAGCAAGGUGAAUGCAAUACUUUCUAUGAUCUACAAAGUAACAAAGCUAAACCAUACACUUUGUCAAAAAUAGAAGAUUCUUGUGUGGUUAGUAGCCGAUUGAGUGUAAGUAAUGGCAUAUAUAUGUGUGAGCUUAAAGAUUUUUUGCCUUGUGAUGAUCUUGAUGGAACCUUGUUGCAUGAUAUAAUGCCAUUAUUUUGAGUGCCCAAACAUUAGCUGAUCUUAUAGAUGAUCGAAUUGAUUUUUCUAGUAAGAUCAAUUUGAGUCCACCUAGUGUUAGCAUUUGUGACUUGCAUAAAAAUGCAUUACCGUGUAAUAGGGAUAGUUAAAUGCAAGUUGGCUAUUGUAUCUUAUGUGUGUAUAUGCUUAAGGAGAUUUUGCUUUGUAAUGUCAAUGAUGACACCUUAUUGCAUGAUGAUAAUGCCAUUAUUAUGGGUGUUCAAAUACUAGUUGAUCCUAUAGAUGACCGGAUUGAUUUAUCAAGUAAGAUCGAUUGGAGUCCACCUAAUGUUAGCAAUUAUAACUUGAGUGGAAGUAUAUUAUCAUGUAAUAAUGGUAGUCAAAUAUUAUUUGGGUCCAAUAGUGGUAAUUAUGUGCUAGACGCUUUUGAGCUUAACGUGCUACCGACUAGUGUUAAUUGUGGCGAUGACUAAUUUUCUUGUAAGUAUGACCUACUAAUUAAGAAGUUAUGUGAUGUGAUAAAUGAACCUCAAUUUAGUGAUGUUAAUGAUAUAGUUGGUCAUGUAAUUAGUCAUGUAGGAUCUUUAAUUAUAGGUGGUGAUUCCUUAGGUGUUUAUUCCAUUUUUUAUUCUUGUCAUGAGGAUCUUGAGGUGGAGUAUGUACUGAGGGAUAACUCUUAUUUAAUGAUGACAUGACUAAUGUGAAUGAUGAAUUUAGUGGUGUGUCUUAUAAUACUGGAAGUGUAGCCACUCUUCAAGGCUACUAAUUGUUUAAAAAUCCACUAUGGUGUGAUGACACACUUUUAAAUGAUAGAAAUUUUUUCUUGAAAGACGAUAAUAUAUUUAUUCGAAGGGUUGGUGUUCAAAAGGAAGGUGAUGUAUGUGUUACAAUUAUCCCUUCAUCUUUAUGUGUUCCUAUUCAUGGUCAAGGACUUAGUGUACUUUAAUAAAUGAGUGAACCUUUUCAUGAGGAUAUAUUAGAUGAAAUUGACUUGUGUAACACCUUUCUAUAUUAUUUGUUUGUGUAUGAUGAUACUCAUGACUUUGAGUGGAAUAUGUUUUGUGAAGAUAAGAGUACAACUGGGGCAUGGUGUUUUCUUAACCUAUUUUUGUGGAAUAUUUUUGCAUUUGACCAUGGUAAUGAAAUAAAAUAUAGCACUUAUGAUGUGUUGCUUGGUCAAGAUAACCAGUGAGUUGUAACUUGGAAGAGUCCAUGGAUGUUCAGGACUUUUUUUCACCUUCAUAGGGUUAGAAAAUCUAAAGUAUUGAUUGGGACUCUUAUGAUCAUGAUUAAUAUCAUAAAUAGAGGGAACACAACUUGCUAGGAGGACCAUUAUUUUUGGAUUGAAUUGUUUUCUAAUUAAUUCCUCAACACCUCUAGUGGCAUGAUUGUGAACUCACUUCUCGUGGGAAGUUGUCCUGAAAGAAAGGGUAAUGUGUAUCUAUACAUCAUUAUUCUAUCCUUGGAUGUUCCAACUUGUAGUGAUUUGCUUGUCAGAUCUGUUGAACAUGUUGGCACUCUUGUAUAUGGCAAUAUCUUGGAUGAGGCUCAUAUUCUUGUUUCCUUUCUCUACUACAUCUUUGAUAUGAUGAUGUCCCUUUUUGUAUUAGAUUGGUUUUAUAUAGAGGUAGGGGUUUCUUGGGUUGGUCCAUUUACUUUUGUGACCAAACUAUAUGGGUCUUUCAUAUCUUUGACCUGGAUAAACCCUUAUGGGUGUUUGAACCAAUGGUGAUACCACCUUUGGUAUAGUUUUAUAGCAUAAUAGAGAAACAAUUAUGUCUUAGGACCUUUGUGGUUUCUUUGUUCUAGGAUAUUUCUCAUAGAUGGAUCCUUUGUACAUUCUACAAUGCAUUUCUUUUAUUGAACACAAAUAAUUCUUGGUUGUAUUUCAAAUUUGUUCCUCCUUAGUAUGAUGAUAUUGGUGUUAACCCUUGUGCUAACCCUCAUGCUAUGAGAAUUUCUUGGUUGUUUGUCCUUCAUAUAUUUUUGUAAGGUUCGGAUUUGAGGAUGAAUUCUUUUGAAGAAGGAAAGGAUGAUACAAGCAUAGGUGGCAUGGGGAACAUUAGAAGGGGCUUUUACAUAUAGAUGAUAGCUUGGAUCCUGGAGGAUUAUACGGAGCAAUAAAUACACAAGCGGCCAUGAGCGAUCAAAAUGCCAUUUGCAAAAUCAAGUAAGGCCCUUGUGGGUUAUUUUCUACAUAGACACUUUUGGGCUAUUUUUUGUAAUAGAUUAUUUUCAUAAAGGUAAUAAGUAUAAAUAGUUGUCUUAGCUAUUUUUCAUCCUUAGACUUUGAUAAAUUGAAAAUUGAACUCCUUUAAGAGUGUAGGGUGGAAUCCCUUUAGGGUAGUCAUAGUGUUAGUGAGACUAGUGAUGAGUGGAUUUCCAUUGUUGAUCUAAAACUUCCUAACCCUGAUUUUUGCAAGAGUUACUCAUUUGUGGAUUUAAAUCAGGUUUCUCUAUUCUAAUUGAAAUCAAGUUCUCUUCUUCCUUAUUUAAUUGAUUUAAUUAUCCCUUCUUUCUUAUAUUCUUAUCUCAGCUUCUUCUAAUUUUUAUAUCUUAUUUCUCCACUAUUUUUGUUUUGUGUUGUUGAUUAUUUGUGUUUUUAUAUAAAUUUUAGUCACUAGAUUGAGAUCAUUAUCAUUUGCUAUGCCUUUUUAUGAUUCUACCCCUACAUGAGAUUUCUUAGUAGUGGAUCAGGUGUACCAAUUUUGUGUGGUUAUCUUUGUAGGCCCUAAGACUUAGGUAGAUUUGACUAUCCUAGAUAUGGUUCAUCUUGAUGUUAUAAUGGAUAUGGAUUGGUUAGAUCUUUACCAUGCUAUUUUGGACUGUUAUGCCAAAAUCGUGACCUUAGCUACGCCAAGUGUGCCAAGGUUAGCUUGGAAGGGUACUCUUAAUUUGGGCUUACAGGGUCUUAUAUCUUUUCUACAUGCUCGUCACAUGAUAUAGAGAGGUUGUUUAUCUUAUUUGGCUUAUGUAUGUAAUACUAGUAUUGCCUAACCACCUCCGAUGGAUUCUAUUUGGGUUGUUCGCGAGUUCAUGGAUAUGUUUCCUAUGGAUUUUCCUGGAUGCCUCUGGAUCGUGAUAUUGAAUUUUCUAUUAAUGUAGAGUUGGCCACCAAGCCUAUUUUUGUCCUUCCCUAUAGGAUGGACCCAACUGAGUUGAAGGAAUUGAAGGAGCUAUUAUAAGAUUUGUUGUUCAUUAGACCUAAUGUAUCUUCUUCAGGUGUUCCUAUCUUGUUUGUAAAAAAAAUAAUUAUCUCUACACAUAUGAGUAUUGAUUAUAGGCAGAUGAACAAAGUGACGAUUAGGAACAAGUGUCCUCUUUCUUGCAUUAAUAAUUUUUUUGACCAGCUUCAAGGUGCUUCGGUAUUUUCCAAGAUUAAUUUGAGAUUCAGGUAUCACCAGUUGAAGAUUAGAGCUUCCGAUAUCCCAAAUACUGCUUUUAGGACUCAGUAUGAUCAUUAUGAUUUCUUGGUCAUGUCUUUUGGAUUGACCAAUGCUCCUUUAACAUUCAUGAAGUUGAUGAACUAGGUAUUUCAACCGUAUCUCUGCUUUUUUGUGAUUGUAUUUACAGAUGAUAAUUGAUUUAUUCCAAUAAUAAGGUGAUCAUGUAAAAUAUUUGAAGAUUUUACUUUAGAGAUUGCAUAAUGAGAAGUUAUAUGCCAAAUUUUCCAAGUGUGAGUUUUGGUUAGAUUCUAUCUCUUUCUUUAGUCAGGUAGUGUCUAAGGAUGGUAUUAUGAUUGAUCCAACCAAGAUAGCGACGAUUUGUUAUUGGGCCAAACCUACUUCUUCUACUAAGAUUUAGAGUUUCAUUGGUUUGGUAGGUUAUUAUUGGCUUAUAAUGGAGGGUUUCUCAUCUAUUGUGACUCCUUUGACCAAGUUAGCUUAAAAUAAGUUGGUAUUUCAGUGGUCUGAUGCAUGUGACAAGAGCUUCAAAAGCUCAAAAACUUGUUGACUUCAACUCUUAUUUUGACCUUGCCCAAGAAGGGUGUGGGUUUUACUAUGUUUCAUGAUUCUUCUAGUGUUGGUUUGGGUGUGGUGUUGAUGCAGAAGGAUCAGAUAAUUACUUAUGCCUCUCUUAGUUAAAGCCCAGUGAGAGAAAUUACCUUACCCAUAAUUGGAGUGGUUAAUUUUUGUAUUUGUGUUGAAGUUGUGACAUCAUUACUUGUAUAGAGUUCCUUCUAAGAUUUUCUUGGAUCAUUAUAGACUUUAGUACUUCUUCAAUCAAUGAGAUCUUAAAAUGAGACAUCGAUAUUGGAUUUAGUUGCUUAAGGAUUAUAACCUCACUAUUCAGUAUCAUCUUUGCAAGGAUAAUGUGGUUGCAGAUGCUUUGAGCCAAAAGUUGGCUAAUAUGCGAAGUUUAUCUUAUCUCUUGACCCAGGAGCGGCCUUUCACCAUGGAGGUUUAGUAUUUAUCUAACUAGAUGGUUACGCUUGAUAUUUUAAUGCCCGGGUAUGUUUUAGCCUUUGUUAAUGCUAGAUCUCUUUUAUUGGAGCAAAUUUGAGCCAAUAAUUUGAUGAUGAUAGUUUGAUGGUGAUUCAAGAUAAGGUGUUGAGUGACAAAGCUAUCGCGACAUCUCAUGAUUCUAAUGGUGUUUUGAAAAUUGGAGGCCGAGUUUGUGUGCUAAGAGUUGAUAGAUGAGUAAGAUUGAUUUUGGAGUAGGCACAUUGUUCCAGGUAUUCCAGCCACCUAGGGAUGUCUAAGAUAUAUCAUAAUUUGAAGAAGCAUUACUGGUAGGGUGGUAAGAAGAAGGAAGUGGUAGAAUUUAUAGCUUAUUUCUUGUGUUGUCGACAAACGAUGGUCGAGCAUCAGUCACAUGGUGAUUUACUUUAGAGAUUACCCUUCCUGAAUGGAAGUGAGAGUGGAUGACUACGGGCUUUAUUUGUGGGUUACCUCGUACUUCUCGUGGUUCUGACAACAUUUGGGUCAUAGUGGAACGACUGACCAAAUAAGCCUUUUUCAUACCUAUUCUGAUCUCCUUUAGUGUCGAGAGGCUGUCCUGUAUUUAUGUUUGAGAGGUAGUUUGUCUUCAUGAGAUAGUUUUGUCCAUCAUUUCAGAUAGAGGUUCAGCGCUUACUUCUAGCUUUUAGAGGACAUUUUUGGAGGAGUUGAUUACUUAGGUUGACCUAAGCACAACUUUUCACCUUGAGACCAACAAUUAUUUAGAGCAAACUAUUCAAGUUUUGAAGAAUAUGCUCAGUGCAUGAGUUAUAGACUUCAGAGGUUAGUGGGAGCAACAUUUGGCUUUAGUGGAGUUUGCUUAAAAUAGUAGCUACCAUUCGAGUAUUGAGAUGACUUUUUUGAGGCAUUGUAUGGUAGGAGUUGUUGAUCUCCUAUUGGUUUGAUACUUUAGAGGUUAGGCAUACAGACUUGCUUUGCGAGUCUUCAGAUGAUUUGGGAUAGGUUUUGAGCAGCCCAGAGUAGGAAAAAGAGUUAUUCAGACCAUAGGCUUCUUGCCUUGAAGUUUGGCAUUGGUGAUCAAGUAUUUCUUCUUGUGUUGCCCAUGAAAGGCAUGAUGAGGUUCGAAAAGAGGGGCAAGCUUAGCCCUAGGUAUAUUAUACCAUUUGAAAAUUUUAGACAAUUGGGGAGGUUGCUUAUGAGUUGACCUUACUACCAGAAUUUUUAGUUGUUCAUUUAGAUUUUCAUGUAUCUAUGCUUCGACGCUAUAUUCUAUACGAUUCUCACGUGCUUCGUUGGGACUUGAUUAAGUCAGACGAGCGGUUGACCUUUGUAGGGAAGUCAGUGUUUAUUUUGGCCAAGAAUAUUAGACGAUUGUGUUCUACAGAUAUUUCUAUGGUUUAAGUUUAUGGAAACACCAUCUUGUUUAAGAGGCUACUUGGGAGGUCGAGUUCAACAUGCGUAGUAGUUAGCCUGAUCUUUUUAUCAAUUUAGGUAUUUCCUUACCUUUUAGUUUAAGGAUAAACCCGAGUUUUAGUGGCGGAUAAUGUAAUGACCUAAAGUGUGAAAUCUUGAUAAUUAUGUGUUUUGACCAUUUUGCAUAGUUGCUACAUGUUGAUUUUGGGGUGUGGAGAUGUUGACAUGAUUCUCGAAGUGAUCGAGAGUGAUUUGAGAGAGUUUGUGAUUUUAGAGACUUUAAAAGUUCCAUAGUUGAAUUUGAUCUACAUUUGAUGUUUUGAGUGUCGGAUGGCAACUUGGACAUUCUCAUUAGUUUCAGAAUGUCAAACUUAAGUUAGUAGCAGGGCUGAUUUGGGUUUGGAGCAUUUAGUUUGGGCUUUGACGCUCUAUUUAAAAAACUAUUAAAAUAUGCCUUAAAGGGGUCUCGGAGGUUAAUUUGUUGAAAAUAAUCUUUUUUUUUCAAAAAUCUGACGUUAUCAAUGAGCCUAGAACAUUGAAAUUAGCCUGGUAGCAUAUAUGAAUUAUCUCUGUGGUUCCCAAUCAAAUCCCGAGGGUCUAGUAAGAUCUUGGUUGGCUUGCACAAAAUCAGCAUUUGUUGAUAUCUGGUGCAGCCGCUUAAGCGGCCAAUGUCUGCUUAAGCGGCAACCACUUUAGUGGCCUGAGAUUGCUUAAGCGGUAUCCUCUUUAGCAUCCAGACAUUACUUAAAUGGUAGCCGCUUUAGCGGCCUAGUACCUCUUUAGAGGUAGCCGCUUAAGCGGCCAUUUAGCCACUUAAGCGGCAACCACUUUAUAUAAAUCCCCUUUUCAUGAAUUUUCAUUAUUUUUGGACUUUGAGCUUCGGAUUUGGGUGAUUUCUAGUGUUUUCAUCACCAUUUAGCUUGGGUAAGCUACAAAACCUUAAUUUCAUUACUUUUCAUUGAUUUAUAUCAUUAAAACAAUGUUUAAUCUUGGUUUUACAUGAAAUUUUGAGGAUUUUUCCAAGAAACAUAAAAAUAAUUUUCUUCAAAUUGGACCUAAUUUUGGUGUGGAUUUUCAACCAUAGGUUCCUUUAAAUAUGUAGAAUGUAUUUAUAAAAUAAAAUUUUGAUUUUACCUCUUUUAUUUUUGAAUUUAUUUUUUGAAUUCAUUUUUUACCCGACUCAAAUAUGGACAAUAUGGGUAUUAUUAGAUUUUUUUAAUGUGCAGAUGCUAUAUUUGAAUAUUGUAGUAGAUUUGGAGGUCAUUCAAAAGGGAAAAUCUUUGUGUUGAAGCACUUAAGGCUUGGAUUUUGUCGUUCAAGAAAGGUUAUGGCUUUACUUCUUUCAAAUUGAACUGGGUAGUUAUAAACAAGUAAAACAUGCUAUGGGUUGGGAAAAAUAACUACGUGGUUUAUAUUUCGAGAUUAUUAUUGUUGUUGUGCAUCCGAGUGGGGGCCUAUAUUCUAUCAUUAUUGACUGGUGAUAUCUGAUAUUGCAUAUUGCCCCGGGGGAGGGGGCUUUAUUUGACAUUAUUAGUCUUAUCUGUGCAUUUAAAUGUCUUUAUUCUAGAUGUAACAUUUGUGCAUGGGCUUGAAUUGUUAUUGUAGGCCUUAUUGAGCAUUGGUUGCCUUUAUCAUGAUAGAAAUGCUCAAGUUAGGGGUUGAUAUGAUAUAAAUGAUGUGUUACAUGUAUAUUUAUUCUGAUGAUGCCUAAUUAGAGUUGAUAAUCAUGAAUUUGGACAUAUUGGGUUAAUUUCUGGAUUCACUUUUAUACGUAUUGAAUGGAUUGGGUAUCUUCAUAAUGAUUUGAUUGUAAAAAUUACAUCCUCAUUCCAUACAUAUACAUUCAUGAUAUAUUGGUACAAUUGAGGAACAUUAUUUUUGAAAGAAACAGAGAUAAUUUUAUAAAACUCCUCUUCAUGAACUUAAGUCGAAGAGGUGGGUUAAGCUUUGAGAUAUGAGUUAUAGAACAUGGAAUGCGAAUCCCAAACAGUAGCUCACGCCGUAUCCAUUAACAGUUCUAAUACAAAUACUGAAAUGAAAUAACACAAAUAUAUAUGAAAAAUAUACUGGAGCUAAACAUAUAGUUAAGGAAAACUAAAAUAAGUAUGAAAAAUGCAUAUGCAAUGUAAACGUUGGAGGGAUGAAUUGUAUACAAAAAGUCAUGCGGUGACUUUCACAAUUCAUCGCUUCAACGUUUGCAUUGCAUUGCAUAUGCAUUUUUCAUAACUAUUUUAGUUUUUCUUAAAUAUAUGUUUAGCUCCAAUAUAUUUUUCAAAUAUAUUUGUGUUGUUUCAUUUCAGUAUUUGUAUUAGAACUGUUAAUGGAUACGGUGUGAGCUACUGUUUGGGAACCUUUCUGUUUACAUGUCACGUGCUCAUAGUUUUCUUUACUUAUAUUAUUUUCCGCUUUGCUCAGUCGACCUAUGAUAUCUAGUAGUAUAAUUGGACUAUACUUAUUUCUACUAUGUCCUUUAUGUAGUGAUCAUAGCUCGAGUACAACAUGUGGAGGAUGAGUUUCUGCUAUUGAGUUGGUAACUUUUUGAGGUACUGAAGCACUCUAGGGUUCAGAGUUACUUUUUUGGGACCCUAUCCUUUCUUUAUUUAUAUCGUUUCUAGAGACAAACUAUGUGUUUUCAGAUUCCGUUAUGUAUUAGAUGCUUUUACAUUUGUGACACCAAAUUUUGAGGGUUUUAUAUUACUUCUUUAGACUUCUGCUUUGAUUAUGUUUUUUGUUGGCUUGACUUCGCUUUAGAAGUCUUGCCUUGCCUUAUUUCUUCUUAGUAUGUUGAGAUUUUCUUUAAAUUUGUAGGAUGGGCUUGCUUGUCAAGAUUGAGCCGCGACAAGUUUCAUCAUGACCCUAGCAAACCCGCCUUGCCUCGCCCUACAUUUUUAAAAAAAUCUAAAUCCAACAAUUUAGGAAUUUAUAACGUUGGUAAGACAAUUUACAAAAAGAUAAUUUUUUAUGAGAAAUACGAUAACGAAGUCAGCUUUCUGUAUAGUGUUUACUUUCAGUCCUUUGCUUUUUUCUUUUAAGAAAGAACUGCAUCAUAAAUGUUGGUGUUAUUAUGCAUUUUAAUAUUAAAAUUAAAAUCUUAAUUUGCAUGAUAAUUUAUGGACAUAAAGUGGAGAAAGUAGUGUCAUUAUAUUUUGAUAACUCUUGUAACUUCCAAUACUUUAUUUGUCCAUUAUCUACCACAUUAUGUCUUGUAACUCAUAGGACCAAUAGUUUCUUGCAACUCUCAUGGCAUUAGUUUCUUAUAAACCUAAGGUCAUUUAUCUACCAACUAUACUGCCCACCUUCUUCCUAUUCUAUAUAAGGAUAAAUUUCUCACCUACAAAUGGUGAUGUUUCUUUCUUUAUUGUGGUAUAAGAAAAAAAUGAUAAGGAUGGAAAAAUAUUAUUAUGUGUAGUAGUAAAAGAGAGAGUUGAGACAUAGAAAAUAUUCUAAGUAUUCAACUAUAUUCACUCUAUAAAAGAGAAUAAUUAUAUUACUGAAAGAGAGAGUUGAGACAAAGAAAAUAUUCUAAGUCUUUAACUAUAUUAACUAUACAAAGAGAGUAACUUAUGUUGAAAUAAGGUAUUUUUGUGGUGGAGGUUUGGACUCUUCAACUAAUUCGGAGUUGCUAGAAAUUUACAUCGUGAUAGGUUGUUGGUAUCCUGGAGGGGACAAGUCAAAAGUAGAUAUUGUUAGAUAGGUGUAGAUUAUGCUGCAGUGGGCUUGAAUUUCCUUAAAGAGAGAGAGAUAUCCAUGCCUUAGCCUAAGUUUUAUUUACUUAAUUUUUAACUUAUUUUAUUUCAACUAUAAUUUAUUGUUAUUUGUGGUAUAUUACACCAAUAAUGUCAAGGAGAUUCAUGAUUUUAUUACAGUUUUAAAAAAAUCACGGAUAUCAAGAUAGAAAUCCCAAUAUCACUAAUCUCUUUAAGAGAUGAAAAAGAUGAGAUCAUAAACAAAUAACGCAUCUUUCUACUUGCUCAACUCAAUGGAGGAAGGUAAAAACUUUUCUACUUGUUGCUGAGAAAAGGUAAAAUAAAUAUUUAGUAUUUUUUAUGAAUAAAAAGGUAUUAUGACUUAAUUUUUGUGAAUUAUUUAUUUCUAUGUGAUUUGGCCACUUUACCUUUUCUCAUGAUUGUUUUGUAAUAUUUUUAGAGUCUGGAGAUAAUUUUCAUGGUUUUCAAUGCAUUACAGUGUGCUUUGUGUAGGUUUGUAAUUUUUGGAGGUUAAAAAAGCUUUAUAGUUGACUUUGAUAAACGAUUAUUAUUCUGUCCAUCGAAUGACAAAAUGGAUUGCACCAACAGAUCUGAAAUAUUGAUUUUAGGUUGAUAACAUGGUUGGUGUGAUUUUACAGCUUGGGUAUCUCAUUUCGACCGUUGAUUUAGAAAGUUAUGAAAUUAGGUCUCAAGGGUUAAUAUUGUAAAAAUAAUAUUUUUUAAAAAAUUUGAUAUUGUCAUUGAGUCAGGGUGUCAAAUUUGGUAGGGUAGUAUGGUUCAUUUGCAUUCUCAAGAUUUCAGAUGAAUCCCGAGGGAUCUACGGAGAUUUAAAAAUUUUCCAAGUUCAGCUGGUGAACCACCAUGGUGGUGCAGCCUCUAAAAUGCCAUUUUGGUUGCUUUAGCGGUGGGCGCUGAUGCACUACUUGGGCCACUUUAACGACCUAGAUCAACUGGCAAGGGGCACUUUACCGUGCCAUGUUAGCUUUAUCUUAGGUCACUAAAUCAGCCCCUUGUCCACUAAGGCCUGCACACUAGGCUACCACCAAAGCUUACCGCUUUAACAAUCCAUGCUGGUACUAUGCAUAAAUAGACUUCUCUUUUUUUUCCACCAUUUUUGAGACUUUGAGCAUCGGGUUUUAGAGUUUUUUGGGAGAUUUCUUCCAUUAUCAAGAUUUGGUAAGCUCUAAACCCUUAUUUCAAUUAUUUUUAAUUGAUUUUGGUCAUCUAAAGCUUGUUAAAAAUAUGAUUUCAAAAGUGAAAUUUGGGAAUUUUUGCCCGAAAGGCCUAAAUUAGUAUUUCUUUUAUUCAAAUUCAAUUUCAACCUAUUUUUACUUGGGUUUUCUUCUGUGGCUUUCUUGAAUCAUGAGUAAUGUAUUUACGAACUAAAAUUUUGAUUUCACCCUUCUUUUUUGAAAAUUUAUUUUUGGGGUCCGUUUUGACUCCAACUAGAAAAUACACAAUAUGAGUAUCAUUGGCUCCCUUUUGAUGCAUAGAAUUUAUAUUUGUAUGUUUUAGUUGGUUUCAAGGUCGUUCGUGAGGGGUAGGCUUCAUGUUGAAGGCUUUUGGAUUGGAUUUUCUUCGUCCGAGUUAGGUUAUAACUUAACUUUCUUCAAACUGGGCUGGGUAGUUAAUACUAAGAUAAAAACAUGUUAUGGGUAUGAGUAUUAAUCAUGAAAAUAGUGUUAUUACUAUUUUGUGCCCGUGUGGGGGCCUACAUUAUUGUUAUUGGUGUUUUGAGACAUUAUUUAUCGCGUGUGACUGUGUGGGGUCUUAUAUGAUGUUGUUGGUCUGGUAUUUAUAUAUUUGGUUAUUUUCUUCUUGGUGAAAAUUGCCUAAGUUGGAAUUUAUGUGGUAUCAAUGAAUAUUAUUGCAUAUCUUACUUUACUGGUACAUGGACUAUAUUGGCUCAUGGAUGAUUGACUUAUUGAGUGGAUUUUGGUUUACAUGCUUGUGUAUUGGAUUUUGAAAUUCACAUUCUGGAUUUUGAGCAUUACAUACUUAUAUCAUAUAUACUUUUAUGAGGCAUUGGUAUUACUGUAGAAAUACUGUUUUUUCUGAUAGAACUAUGACAUCUUAAAAACUUUCCAUCGAAGAUCAUAUACUGGAGAGGAGUUAUGGAUAUUGGAUUGGUAUUAGUAUUAGUUAUUGGAUUGUAUAUUGGUUGUGGAACCUCCCAUGGGUCCUACCCUGGAAGCAGUGCUCGAUAGGUGUAUACGGAGGUUGUGCAACAAUAUCAAGCAUAUUACAUCCUCAUUAUCAUUAUUGAACAUAUCACAUUAUCAUUAUCAUUCUCAUUCUUAUACAUUAUGCACUUUCUAUGAUUGUGAUUUAUGUUUGAUUGAUGUCUAUCUAUUUUGUAUUGCUUUUCCGUAAUGUACUUAUGUGUUGUGUAUUAGAACUGUUAGUGAAGACGGUAUGGGCUACCAUUUGGGAAAUUUUCUGCUUGCAGAUGAUGUGCCCUUAGUGUGUAUUUUAUAUACUUUAUUUCUGCUUUUCUCAGUUGACUUAUGAUACCUACUAAGUACAAGUGAACCGUACUCGUCCCUACAGUGCUCUUUUAGUACACAUCCAGGUAUGAGUGCGAUGCGCGAUAGGUGAUCUCAGGUGGUGCUUGGAGUAUUUUUGAGGUAGUGAUCAAUCUAUGAUUCUAGGGUCGAUCCCCUACCCUUUCUUAUCUAAUUUAUGUCAUGUUUCGUAUUUAGAGAUAGAUGUAUGUUUCUUUUUGAACUAUCAGUUGAAUAUUUUGACUUCGAGAUAUACUUUGUUGGUUCUUACAAUGUGACUCUAGAUUUUGGGGUUAUAUAUGGUAUUAUUGCUACGUAUGUUUCCACUAUUAUUGUUUACGUGUGGUUCGACUUUACUCUAGAAGUCUUACAUUAGAUUUUGGUGUUGUUUUCCCAUUCCAUAUCAGUUAAGAAGAUUGGCUUACUUGUUAAGACUUGUUGCAAUAAGUGUUAUCAUAACCCUGAGUUUUAAGGUCGCGACAAAUUAGUAUCAGAGUAGCCAAGUUCAUUGGUCUCAUCAGUGUAAGAACAAUGUGUCAAGUAGUGUCCCACAGAUUGGUACGUAGAUGUAUGUAUCUAUCUUUAAGAGGCUAUAAGAUAUUUUAGGAAACUUCAUUUAUUUUAUUCCAUAUCGUGUGGGUUUUUCUAUACCUUGUAUUCUAAAUUGAGUUUCACUCUUUUCUAUGCAGAUGGUGAGGACUAGAUCCUGUAAGGCUAGAAAUGUGGAGCUAUUAUCCAAGGAGAAAUCCCAUUCUAGGGGCGAGUUGUGAGUUGUUAAUGGGAUCAAGGGAGAGGACGGGCACGAUGAUCUGUCCCUUUCAGAAGUGGUACUAGGGGAUCUUCCCUGAGCCUCUUAUUGAUUAUACGGGGAUAUGGGACCUUCUUAGAUUUCACAAAUCUCUUCUACCUAAUUUUGGAGGGGUUAUUAAUUCGUCUGCUUACUCAUUUAAAGGGUGAUCCCUUGGGUGCACCUGGUGUUCCACCAGCUCCGAGUAUUAUACCUUCAUAUAUGUAAAGCUUGCCUAUGGCGUUCUCCAAUUUUGAGUAUGGAUCCUUCAGUGGCAUCGACAUCUACUUAUGGUACUCCACAACUCCGACUAUUGUUUCUCCAUCUAUGUCGGUAUCGAGUAUAGUAUUUCUAGAUCAGAAGUUCAGCCUUCUUCCAUGUUACCUCCUUAGGUGGGAUAUCAACCAGCUAGAUUUACUAUGCAUGCUAUUAUUGUGAGUAUAGUUAUGUUUUCUGAGGUUUGAGAGAUUCACUCGCUUGGGUCCACCCAGGUUCAAUGGUGCGGGGGACAAGGAUGUCUAUGAGUUAUUGAUUCAUUGUCUAAAGAAGUUACAUAAUCCUAAAUCACUUAAGUCGCAUGGAGUUGCUUAUACUACCUACCAGUUGAGAGAUACAGCAAGGGAUUGGUAGAGAUCACUUGUUAAUUAUAGACCUCUAGGUUCCCUGGAGAUGACUUGAGAUCAAUUUGCUGAGGUUUUUUUGGAUAGGUCUGUGCCUUUCAAUCUAUGGUAUUAGACGAGCGAUGAUUUUGAUCACCUGGAGUAUGGAUCCAUGACUGUUGCAGAGUAUGAGGCACGUUUCCAUGUCUUGUCUAGAUAUUCUUAUGCCAGUAUUGCCACGGAGUCUUAGAGGAUUCAAAAGUUCAUAAAGGGGUUGGAUUUUUCUCUUUAAUUGGCUAUUGCCCAGAUAGUGGUGUUAGGGGCAUCAUUUCAAAGUAUAGUGGAUCAUGCGCAGAUGAUUAAGUCUAUUCUUCGAGUAUGUCAGAGAGUUGCCAAGAGGGUACGCCGUUAGGGAGAGUUCAGUAGUCGCACUACUUGAGGCAGAGAUUUUAAUGACUCUCGUGGGUAUCAUGGUAGGCUGGUGUAGGCAUCCUUGUAAGGUUCAAGUAGUGGGUCUUUUAGUUCAGCAGCUUUGGAUGGCUAUUCCAGCUUAGUUGUUCCUCCCUCUAUUGAGUCGGUUCGUAGAGUUUACUAUGUGUGUGAUGAGUUUGGCCAUUUGACCAAAAAUUGUCCAUGACGUAUUUUCAGACCAACUCCUUUAGCGAUAAUGGGUGAUAACCCUCAGAGAGAUAGAGGUACUACUAGAGGUGUAUGAGGUAGAGGUACUGACAUUCGUAAUGGUAUUCACUAGGCUCCUCAACCAGGUGGUUGAUGUGAACAAUGAUAUUCUAUACCCUCCAGACUAGAGGUAGAGGUUUUGGAUGCAGUUAUCACAGGUAUCAUCUCUGUUUAUUUUAUAUCUAUAUCUAUAUUAUUUGAUCUGGGGUCGACUUUCUCAUUUAUGUCUGCAUAUUUGACUUUGGAGUUUAAUUAUACUAGUGAGCCUCUCGCCAUGUCUAUCUGUGUAUCUACCUAGAUAGGAUAUUCUUUAGUGGUGGAUCGGGUGCAUCAAUCCUGUGUUGUGAUUUUCAUGGGCCAUUAGACUUGGGUAGAUCUAGUUAUCCUAGAUAUGAUAGAUUUUGAUGUCAUCUUGGGUAUCAAUUGCCCAGUUGCUUAUCAUGUUGUCCUAGACUAUUAUGAUAAGACCGUGACUUUAGCUCCGUCGGGUGUGCCCAAGAUAGUUUGAAAGGGUGCGCUUCAUUUGGGUCCUAAGAGAGUUAUAUCCUUUCUUUUGGCUCAUCAUUUGGUAGAAAACAGGUAUUUUUCUUAUUUGGUCCAUAUUCAUGAUACUAGUAUUGAUUCACUGUCUCCUUUUAUUUUGGUUGUAUUGUUUGUUAAUUAAGGGAUGAUUUCCCUAUGAAUUUGCCUGGUAUGCUUCUGGAGCAUGAUAUUGGCUUCCCCAUUGAUUUUAAGCUAGACACCAAGCCCAUCUCCAUUCUUCCUUAUGGGAUGGCCCUAACAGAGUUGAAGGAAAUAAAGGAUCAAUUAUAAGAGUUAUUAGAUAAGGAAUUUAUCCAACCUAGUGUAUCACCUUGGGGUGUACCUUUCUUGUUUUUAUAGAAAAAAAUAAGUCUAUGCGUAUGUGAAUUGAUUAUCGAUAGUUGAACAAGGUGACAGUUAAGAAUAAGUAUCCUUUUCCUUGUAUUGAUGAUUUUUUUAUCAUUUUCAGGGUGCUUUAGUGUUUUCGAAGAUUAAUUUGAGGUUUGGGUAUCACCACUUAUGGCUUAGAGCUUUAGAAAUUCCAAAGACAGCAUUUCAAACUUGGUACAAUCAUUAUGAGUUCUUGGUCAUGUCCUUCGAGUUGACUAAUGACCCAACCACAUUCAUGGAGUUGAUAAACCAGGUAAUUUGCUCGUAUCUCGACUCUUUUGUGAUUGUAUUUAUAUAUGAUAUCUUGGUUUAUUCUAUAAGUGAGGCUGACCAUAAGUAGCAUUUGUGGAUUAUGCUUCACAGAUUGAGGGGGGAGAAGUUGUAUGCUAAGUUCUCCAAGUAUGAGUUUUGGUUAGAGUUUGUCUCUUUCUUGAGUCAUGUGGUGACUAAGGAUGGUAUUAUAGUUGAUCCAGCCAAGAUUGCAAUGGUUCGUGAUUGGGCUAGGUCUAUUUCUCCUAUCGAGAUUCAAAGUUUUUUGGUCUAGAAAACUACUAUCGGUGCUUUGUUUAUGGUUUUUCAUAUAUUGUAACUCUGUUGACCAAGUUGACUUAGAAGAAGAUUUUCUUUUAGUGGUUCGAUGCUUGUAAGGCGAGCUUUCAAAGCUUAAGGAUUUGUUGACAUCAACUCCUAUCUUGUCCUUGCCCAUUAUUAUAUUAAUGAAGGAGGGUAAGGUAAUUGUGUAUGCUUCUCUUUAGUUGAAGUCCUAUAAGAAGAAUUACCCUACCCAUGAUUUAGAGUUGUGAGCAGUUGUUUUUCUUUGAAGAUGUGGAGGCCCUACUUAUAUGGAGUCUGUUGUGAGGUAUUCUCGGAUUACCAUAGUCUUCAGUAUUUGUUCACCCAGUGAGAUCUUAAUAUGAGUCAGUGUCGUUGGCUUGAGUUUCUGAAGGACUAUAACCUUACUUAUUCUCUAUCAGUCGAGCAAGCCUAAUGUGGUUGCAGAUGCCUUGAGAUAGAAGUAAACUAGCAUGGGUAUCUUGGAGCGUCUUUUGCCUAAGAGAGUUCUUUGGCCUUAGAGGUUAAGUCUUUGGCUAACCAGAUGGUUAGGCUUGAUAUUUCGACACCUGGGCACAUUUUGAAAUUUAUGGAGCCUAGGUAUUCCUUGAUGGAGCACAUUCGAGCUAAUCAAUUUGAUGAUAUUAUGUUGAGAGUGAUUCGAGAUAAGGUAUUGAGUGAGACUAAGGAAGCGUCACUUGAUUCAAGUGGUAUUUUGAGGAUUGGAGCCCGAGUUUGUAUUCCAAAAGUGGGUGAUUGGGUGAGGUUGAUAUUGGAGAAAGCUCAUUGUUCUAGGUAUUCCAUUCAUUCGAGAGUGUCUAAGAUGUAUCUCGAUUUAAGAUAACCCUACUGGUUAGGUGGUAUGAGGAAGGAUGUAGUCGAUUUUUAAAUUCGUUGUCUAUGUUGCUAGUAGGUGACGACCAAGCAUUUGAGGCAUAGUGGUUUACUUCAGAGGUUACCCAUUCCUAAGUAGAAAUAAGAAUAGAUUACUAUAAACUUCAUAACUAGAUUGCCCAUACUUCUCGUAGUUCUGAUAGUAUUUAGGUCAUCAUGGAUCGAUUGACCAAAUCUACUCAUUUCAUUCUGAUUCAAGUUUCUUUUAGUGCUAAGAGAUUGGAUUGUAUUUAUAUCCGUGAUAUAGUUCUUCUUCAUGGUAUGUCGGUGUCUAUCAUUUCAAAUAGAGGUUUAAUCGUCACAUCUCACUUUGGAAGGCUUUUUAGGAUGAGUUGGGUACUCGAGUUUACCGUAGCACAACCUUUCGCCCUCAAACCGACAGUCAGUUAGAGCAGACUAUUUAGGUUUACGAGGAUAUGCUCGCACUUAUGUUAUGGACUUUAGGGGUCAGUGGGAGCAACAUCUAGAAUUGGUGGAGUUUAUGUAUAAUAAUAGUUACCAUUUCAGUAUUGAGAUGGCUCCGUUUAAGGCUCUACAUGGUAUACGUUGCCGCUCUCCAGUUGGUUAGUUUGAGGUUUCUGAGAUUAGACCUCAAGGUAUAACCUUUCUUUGUGAGUCCUUGGACAGAGUUUGGGUCAUUCAAGAUAGACUUCGAGUAGCUCAGAAUAGGCAGAAGUGCUAUGCGGAUUGUAGACUUUAUGCCUUGAGAUUAGUGUUGGUGAUCAAGUCUUCCUUUAUGUUUAUCCUAUAAAAGGCGUGAUGAGGUUUGGGAAGAGGGACAAGCUUAGCCCCAAGUAUAUUGGACCAUUUGAGAUUCUUUAGACUAUCGAGGAUGUAGCUUAUGCAUUAGCAUUGCCCCUAGAUUUAUCAGUUGUUUAUCCAGUUUCCAUGUUUUUAUGUUUCGAUGUUAUAUUCCAGAUGAGUCUCAUGUAUUUUGUUGGGAUUCAGUCCAGUUAGAUGAGAGGUUGUCUUUUGUUGAGGAGCUCAUCUCCAUUCUAGCCAGGGAUAUUAGACGGUUGUGUUCUAGAGAUAUUUCGAUGUUUAAGGUCCAGUGGAGGCAUCGACCUAUAGGUUAGGUUACAUGGGAGGCUAAGUCUGAUAUGCCUGGUAGUUAUCCCCAUCUUUUUGCUGAUUCGAGUAUUUCCCAUACCUAUAGUUUGAGGAAGAACUAGAUUCUUAAUGGUGGAUGAUGUAAUGACAUGAUUUUUGUAAUUAUUCAUUUUAUGUGAUUUGUCCAUUUUACCCCUCUUUAUGGCUUCUUUGUGAUGUUUUUAGGGUGUGGAGAUGAUUGACACAAUUUCUAAUGUAUUUCGGUGUGAUUUGUGCGAAUUUGUAGUUUUUAAAGGUUAAAAAAGUUUUGUAGUUAACUUUGGUCAGUAUUUAUUAUUCUGUGUGUCAGACUCAAAAUGAACUGCACCAGCAGAUCCAUAACAUCAAUUUUAGGUUGGUAACAUGGUUGGUGUAAUUUUACGGCUUUGGUAUCUCAUUUCAACCCUCGAUUCGAAAAGUUAUAAAAUUAGGUCUCGAGGGUUAAUUUUGUGAAAAUGAUAUUUUUUUAAAAAUUUGAUAUCACUAUUGAGCUCAGAGCAUUGAAUUUGGUACGGUAGCAUAGUACGUUUGCAUUUUGGGGAUUCCAGAUGAUUUUUGAGGGAUUUCCGGAGACUUGAAAAUUUUCCAAGCUUAGCAACCACCUAGCUGGUGCAGCCCUAAAGCGCCACUUGGGCCAAUUUAGAGACCCGACCUUGUUUGCUUUAGCGGAGGCUGCUAAAACAUUCCCUUGUCCACUUUAGCGGACUGGCCUGCACACAUGGGGUAUCGCUAAAGUGGUACUUGACCGCUUUAGCGGCCAACACUGGUACUGUGCAUAAAUAGUCUUUUUCUCAUUUUUUCUUACUAUUUUUGAGACUUUGAACUUCGAGUUUUAGAGUUUUUACGCUAUUUCUUUCAUUUUCAAGUUUUGGUAAGCUCCAACCCCCUAUUUCAAUUAUUAUUAAUCGAUUCCUGUCAUCUAAGGAUUAUUAAAAACAUGAUUUCAAAAGUGGAAGUUGGAGAUUUUGGCUCGGAAGGCUUAGACUAGUAUUUAUUCAAUUUAAACCCCAAUUUUAAAUCGUUUUCACUUGGGUUUUCUUCUAUGGCUUUCUUGAAUCAUGGGUAAUGUAUUUAUGAACUAAAAUUUCAAUUUUACCUUUUUUUCAAAAACUCAUUUCGAGGAUUUGUUUUGAUUCCAACUCAGAAAUAAACAAUAUGGAUAUCGUUGACUUUCUUUUGAUGUAUAGAAUCUAAAUUUGUAUGUUUUAGUUGGUUUUGAGGUCGUUCGUGAUGGGUAGGCUCCGUGUUGAAGGCUUUUGGAUCGGGUUUUCUUCAUUUGAGGUAAGUUAUGGCUUAACUUUCUUCAGAAUGGGUUGGAUACUUAAUACUGAUAUAAAAACAUGCUAUGGGUAUGGUUACUAAUCAUGAAAAUGGUGUUAUUACUGUUUUGUGCCCGUGUGGGGGCUUAUGGUCGGUGUUUUAAGAAAUAUUUGUUAUGUGUGAUCGUGUGGAGUCUUAUAUGAUGUUGUCGGCUUGAUAGUUAUAUAUUUGGUUGUUUUUUUCUUGGUGGAAAUUGCCUAAGUUGGGAUUUAUGUGGUAGCAAUGAUAUAUUGUUACAUAUCUUACUCUAUUGGUACAUGGACUAUAUUGCAUCAUGGAUGAUUGAUUUAUUGAGUGAAUUUUAGCCACGUGCUUGUGUAUUGAUUGCAUUUUGAAAUUCUAAUUCUGGCUUGGUUGUGAGAAUUACAUCCUUAUAUUAUAUAUACAUUCAUUAGGCAUUGGUACCACUGUGAAAUACUAAUUUUUCUGAUAGUAAUGUGACAUCUUUAAAAAAAAUUGCCGAAGAUCAUGUGCCGGAGAGAAGUUAUGGCUAUUGAAGUGAGAUUGAUAUUGGUUAUUGGAUUGUAUAUAGGUUGUGGAAAUCCCAUGGGUCCUAUCUCGGGAGAAGAGCUCGGUAGGUGUAUAUAGAGGUUGUGUGACAACCUCGGACAUAUCACAUCAUCAUUACCAUUCUCAUUGCAUCCCAUACAUUAUGCAUCUUUUAUGAUUAUACUUUUUGUUUGAUUGAUGUCUAUCUAUUCUGUAUUUUUUUCCGUACUUGUACUUAGUGAAUGUGAUAUGUAUUAGAAUUUUUAGUGGAGAAAGUGUGGACGAUCAUUUGAGAUAUUUUAUGAUUGCAGGUGAUGUAUCCUUAGUUUGUAUUUUAUAUACUUUAUUUUCUACUUUACUUGGUUGGCCUAUGAUACCUACUGAUUACAAGUGGACCGUAAUCAUCUCUAUUGUACCCUUUCAGUGCAGAUUCAAGUAUAAGUGUUCCACGUGGUAGUUGAUCUCGAUCGGUGCUUGGAGUAUUUUCGAGGUAGCGGUCGAUCUAUGCUUUCAGAGUAGAUCCUCUACCCCUUCUUAUCUAGUUUAUGACUUAUUUCGUAUUCAGAGACAGAUUUAUAUUUUCUUUUUGAAUUAUUAGUUGUAUAUUUUGACUUUGAGAUGUACUUAGUUGAUUCUUACAUUGUGACACCGAAUUUUGGGAUAAUUUAUGAUAUCAUUGUUGUGUAUGUUUCUGCUAUUAUUUUUUAUGUGUAGUUCGACUUCGUUCUAGAAGUCUUGCCUUGGAUUUUGGUGUUGUUUCCUCAUUCCAUAUAAGUUUGAGUGAUUGACUUACUUGUCAAGACUUGCCGCGACAAGUGCCAUCAUAACCCUUAAUUUUUGAGUUGUCGCAUACUACUUUUCAUAAACAUAAAGUGGUAUUUCAAAUUCUUGAAAUAGUGGGGGUUGAUGAAGUGAGAUAAAUAUUCAACAUGAAAAAAUAUAAUUUUUGCUUCUUUGAAAAUGCUUAAAAAUUGUUACAAGUGGAUAUAUUGAUCUUGAAAAAAAACCCACAUAUUGUUAUUUACAUAUAAUUUGAUGUCUUUGACUCUAACGUGUGAGUCAUCAAAGAAAGAAUAAGAAUAUGUUGAGUAGUUAUUUUGACACGAAAUUGGGUGAGAUAAAUUUCUUUCUAGAAAUAAAAAAUACCUAAAUCAUGUGAUGAACCUUUCCUUGACAUGUCACAUUAUGGUGGAAAUAAAUUUGUGAAAUAUAAUUUUGUUGAUUAUAUGAGUCACGCACCUCCUUUUGAUUUAAAUGUAUGAAAGUGAUGUGAAAAAGCAGAAUUUGUUAGGCUAAUAAAAAAAUUGAGAUAUGUGGCUAAUUACACUUAACUUGAAGUUGUGAAUGCUGCAAAAAGUACUUAGUAGAUACAACCAAACAAGAUAUAUUUUACUUGGUACAAAAGAUGAGGCUUUUUUACAAAAUGAAAAAUAUUUUGCUAUACUUAAAACUACUUCUGUGCUAAUUGUUGAAAACAAAAAUUUAUUAUGACUAACUUUACUAUAAAUGUUGAGUUUGAUAUUUUAACUUCAGUUAGUGAAAAAGUGAAUUGAUUUGGAGACUUAUUAUAUCAAUCAAUUUAUUUUGAGAAAUUAAAUUUUCUCUAAUUUUGAAUUAUUGUGAUAGCAUCAAAAUUUAUUAGUAGAGUGCAAAUCAUUAUUGUAAUGGUAAAUUCAAAUCAUAAGGAAAAAACACAAUAUUGUGAGAUCAUAUUGAUCAACGGUAUGCCAUCGAUAUUAAUUGAGUUAAUUUUGUGAUAAUCUUGAAGAGUCAUAGAGUAAGACCUUAGUAAGAAAAUAAUUUGAAUCAUAUCGAAGGGGAAAUAAUUAAAGCUUAAAAACUUGUAAGUCGUAUAUGAGGAAACUCAACCUGGAACUAGAGAUCUUAUAACUAGGUUUAAUGGAAAGAAUGAAUCAUAUGAUGACUUGUUGUGAAUGCACUAUUAUUUUAUCUAUCCUCAUGGUGUGAGUGCAUUUUAUUUGUGGAGGUUGAGUCUAAGAACUCUUAAUGAAAUUUUGUAUCUCAUAUGAGUGAGAGUCAAAAUUACAGGAUCAGCCUUAACUGAUUUCACCUAUGUGAGUGUGGAAGUUAGCCGUUUCCUAUGAGAAUUAGACUUACUCUAAAAAACACUCAUGAAAAAUCGGAAUAGCACAUGGCCGUAAUGUAUUGACUGUUAAAGUUUAUGUUGGCACCUUAAUUAUUGUGUGUAGGUAGUGAUACUUUAUUUUUCUUAAGCAGUCAAAGUUUAAGUUUGAGACCACUACCGACUCCAGAGUAAAGAUUACUGUUUUAUUAAGUGAAGGUUCAAUGCAGAACACACCUUCAUUAUGUAUGGUAGUCUUCCUUAGAUUAAAUUAAAAAAUUAUUCUCUUGUUAAUAUUAAAAUGGGUGGGAAAAUAUUGGAGUUAUUAUACAUUUUAAUAUUAAAAUUAAAAUCUUAAUUUGCAUGAUAAUUUAUGAAAAUAAAGUGAAAAAAUGGUGUCAUUAUAUUUUGAUAACUCUUAUAACUUCUAAUACGUUAUUUGUCUAUUAUCUACCACAUUAUGUCUUGUAAUUCAUAUGACCAUUAGUUUUUUGCAAUUUCCAUGACAUUAGUUUCUUGUAAUCUUAAGGUCAUUUAUCUACCAAUUUUACUACCCACCUUCUUCCUAUUCAAUGCAAGGUUGAAUUCCUCACUUAUAAAUAGUGAUGUUUUUUCCUUUGUUGUGGUAUAAGAAAAAGAUGAUAAGAAUGAAAAAAUAUUAUUAUGUAUAACAGUGAAAGAGCCAGUUGAGAUAGAAAAAUAUUUUAAAUCUUCAACUAUAUUCACUAUACAAAAUAGAGUAAUUAUAUUAGUAAAAGACGGAGUUGAGACAAAAAAAAUAUUCUGAGCCUUUACCUAUACUCAUUAUACAAAGAGAAUAAAUUAUGUUGAAGGAAAGUGUUUUUGUGGUGGAGUUUUGAACUUUUCAACUAAUUCGGAGUUACUUGAGUUGUACAUCAUGAUGUACUGUUAUAUCCUGAAAUGGACAAGUCAAGAGUUGACACUGUUGAAUCGGUGUAGAUUAUGUCGUAGUGGGCAUAAAUUUUUUUUUUUUGUAAAGUAAAAUAUUUGUACCUCACUUCGAAUUUUAUUUACUCAAUUAUUUAUUUAUUUUAUUUUCAACUCUAAUUUAUUAUAAUUUGUAGUAUAUUAUCCCAAUAUAAAUAAAUUAACUCAAAAAUUUGGUUUCAAUUUUUUUUAAUAAUAAACAAUGACAGUUAGUAGGAAUUAAAAUAUCCAAAGAGAGAUUGCAUAAGCAUCAAAUUGAGAAGCUCCAAUACAAGAUUCAUGGUGAACGAAGCUUUAACUUACGGCAGGAAGAAUGUAGAUCCGCAACCGCGAAAAUUCUCUCCUUUAAAAAGCAACUUAUCCCACACCACACCACACCGCAUCCGCAUAUCUCUAAAUCUGCCCCACACCGCAAAGGCUCAGAUCAGCACCGCCCACAUUCGCACCACCUAGUUGUCAUACCUAGCUGCUAAGGUCAUGGUACGCGCGAGUUGUGGGUUUGAAUCCAGCGUCAAAUCGUGUCCUUGUUUCUACUGGUGCAGAUUCCUUUAAAAAAUAAAAAGAAAAACAUUACUGGAAAAGGUUUUCCCUCAUUUCAUGUACAGGUUAAUAUAUGGAGAUUUCUUAAAAUUCCAAAGUUUAUAUUAAAAAAUAAAAAUAUAAGAUUAAUAAUUAAAACGCACACACAAAUUUCACUCUAAAACAAAAGAGAUUCUGUUUUUUUUUUUUUUUCCCAAAUAAAUAUCAACCCAAAAUCUUUUUUAAAAGAAGCCGUAAAAUUCUUUAUGCACGCGCCGCUCAUCCUUUUGUAUAGUCCAAACCUCGUGAUUG
rnacentral:lncRNA from 1 species